ACGCUGGCGGCACGCCUAACACAUGCAAGUCGAACGGAGUAGCAAUACUUAGUGGCAGACGGGUGAGUAACAUGUAGGUAUCUGCCCUUUGGCCUGGAAUAACACGAGGAAACUUGUGCUAAUACCGGAUAAGUCUUUACAGAGAAAGCUUUAUGCACCAUUGGAUGAGCCUGCACUUGAUUAGUUUGUUGGUGGGGUAAUGGCCUACCAAGACUUUGAUCAAUAGCUGAUUUGAGAGGAUGAUCAGCCACAUUGGGACUGAGACACGGCCCAAACUCCUACGGGAGGCAGCAGUGGGGAAUCUUGCACAAUGGAGGAAACUCUGAUGCAGCGAUGCCGCGUGAGUGAAGAAGGCCCUUGGGUUGUAAAGCUCUUUCGUCGGGGAAGAAAAUGACUGUACCCGAAUAAGAAGGUCCGGCUAACUUCGUGCCAGCAGCCGCGGUAAUACGAAGGGACCUAGCGUAGUUCGGAAUUACUGGGCUUAAAGAGUUCGUAGGUGGUUGAAAAAGUUGGUGGUGAAAUCCCAGAGCUUAACUCUGGAACUGCCAUCAAAACUUUUCAGCUAGAGUUUGAUAGAGGAAAGCAGAAUUUCUAGUGUAGAGGUGAAAUUCGUAGAUAUUAGAAAGAAUACCAAUUGCGAAGGCAGCUUUCUGGAUCAUUACUGACACUGAGGAACGAAAGCAUGGGUAGCGAAGAGGAUUAGAUACCCUCGUAGUCCAUGCCGUAAACGAUGUGUGUUAGACGUUGGAAAUUUAUUUUCAGUGUCGCAGCGAAAGCAAUAAACACACCGCCUGGGGAGUACGACCGC
rnacentral:rRNA from 1 species